ACGCUCGACAGUGUCAGCAGCCGCGGUAAUACGUAGGGUGCGAGCGUUAAUCGGAAUUACUGGGCGUAAAGCGUGCGCAGGCGGUUUGUUAAGUCAGAUGUGAAAGCCCCGGGCUCAACCUGGGAAUGGCAUUUGAAACUGGCAAGCUUGAGUAUGGCAGAGGGGGGUGGAAUUCCGCGUGUAGCAGUGAAAUGCGUAGAGAUGCGGAGGAACACCGAUGGCGAAGGCAGCCCCCUGGGCCAAUACUGACGCUCAGGCACGAAAGCGUGGGGAGCAAACAGGAUUAGAUACCCUGGUAGUCCACGCCCUAAACGAUGCUCACUAGGUGUUGGGGAAGCGAUUCCUUGGUACCGUAGCUAACGCGUGAAGUGAGCCGCCUGGGGAGUACGGCCGCAAGGUUAAAACUCAAAUGAAUUGACGGG
rnacentral:rRNA from 1 species